CGGGGGAAAAUUUAUUGCUAUUAGAUGAGCCUAUAUUAGAUUAGCUAGUUGGUGGAGUAAUAGCCUACCAAGGCAAUGAUCUAUAGCUGAUCUGAGAGGAUGAUCAGCCACACUGGAACUGAGAUACGGUCCAGACUCCUACGGGAGGCAGCAGUGGGGAAUAUUGGACAAUGGGCGAAAGCCUAAUCCAGCCAUGCCGCAUGAGUGAAGAAGGCCUUUGGGUUGUAAAGCUCUUUUAGUGAGGAAGAUAAUGACGGUACUCACAGAAGAAGUCCUGGCUAACUCCGUGCCAGCAGCCGCGGUAAUACGGAGAAGGCUAGCGUUAUUCGGAAUUAUUGGGCGUAAAGGGCGCGUAGGCUGAUUAAUAAGUUAAAAGUGAAAUCCCGAGGCUUAACCUUGGAAUUGCUUUUAAGACUAUUAAUCUAGAGAUUGAAAGAGGAUAGAGGAAUUCCUGAUGUAGAGGUAAAAUUCCUAAAUAUUAGUAGGAACACCAGUGGCGAAUGCGUCUAUCUGGUUCAGAUCUGACUCUGAUGCGCUAAGGCAUGGGGAGCAAAGAAGAUUAUAUAUCC
rnacentral:rRNA from 1 species